AUUUAAGUAGCUUAUUUAGAGCAUGAUAUUGAAGAUAUUAAGGAAAUAUAAAUUAUUCUUAGAUA
rnacentral:tRNA from 1 species